GCCGGGUGCGGUGGUUCACGCCUGUAAUCCCAGCUACAGGGGAAGCUGAGACAGGAGAAUCACUUGAGCCCAGGAGUUUGAGACCAGCCUGGGCAACAUAGUGAAACCCUGUCUCUU
ensembl:misc_RNA Metazoa_SRP Metazoan signal recognition particle RNA